GACGAACGCUGGCGGCGUGCUUAACACAUGCAAGUCGAACGGAAGGGCCCUGCUUUUGUGGGGUGCUCGAGUGGCGAACGGGUGAGUAACACGUGAGUAACCUGCCCUUGACUUUGGGAUAACUUCAGGAAACUGGGGCUAAUACCGGAUAGGAGCUCCUGCUGCAUGGUGGGGGUUGGAAAGUUUCGGCGGUUGGGGAUGGACUCGCGGCUUAUCAGCUUGUUGGUGGGGUAGUGGCUCACCAAGGCUUUGACGGGUAGCCGGCCUGAGAGGGUGACCGGCCACAUUGGGACUGAGAUACGGCCCAGACUCCUACGGGAGGCAGCAGUGGGGAAUAUUGCACAAUGGGCGGAAGCCUGAUGCAGCAACGCCGCGUGCGGGAUGACGGCCUUCGGGUUGUAAACCGCUUUCGCCUGUGACGAAGCGUGAGUGACGGUAAUGGGUAAAGAAGCACCGGCUAACUACGUG
rnacentral:rRNA from 1 species